rnacentral:rRNA from 1 species
GGGUUAGUAGGUUGGUCGUGCCUCUGGUAUGUACUGGCUUUACUGAUUCCUCCUUCUUGAAGAACUGUAAUGUCAUUAAUUUGGUGUUGCAGGGAAACAGGACUGUUACUUUGAAAAAAUUAGAGUGUUUAAAGCAGGCUAACGCUUGAAUACAUUAGCAUGGAAUAAUGAAAUAGGACGUUUGAUCCUAUUUUGUUGGUUUCUAGGAUUGACGUAAUGAUUAAUAGGGAUAGUUGGGCU